AAACUAUUACCUAUUUGUUUAUGUUUGUAAUUGUACUGUGGUUUGGUAAUUAUUGUAGUUUAGUACGUGUUUUCUAGUGUUUUGAGUUUUCGACAGGGCAUGGAAAGUAAUAACAUUGGUAUUGUAAAACUCGUGAAACAAUUUUUUGUGAAAACGAUUUCGUUGAAUGUUUACAUGUUUUUGUUGAUUGUGUAGGGAAAAACACGCGCUGGAGGCUAGUGGCUAUAAGAUGAUAAUAAAAUGGAUUGUUUUUAGUGAGUCUUCAAGCAAAACAAUCAUCAUUCCAAACAAAGAAGAGUAGGAUAAGAAGAUUGAGAAAAAUAAAGAGGGACAAAAACUAUAUCAUUGAAAAACUACACGCUAAAUAUAUUAUGUGGUACGAAAUUACGUAGAUUGGAUUAGCUUAUUAUUUAGGAUUAAUUUACACAGGCCUUGAGGUGUCCACUUAUAUCGGGGGAAAGGAUAUUUUCUCUCAAACUUGGGACCAAACUAAUCAUUUGUGUAUUGUCACCGAAGGCUUUAAGAGAACUCUUCAAUAGAUUGGCCACAUCUCCACGGUCUGUUUGGUGGUUCCGACUAUUUUCGCUGCAAACCAGCGCUUGCUGCCCCGUUCCAGCUUCAGGAAGUAGAACUACAUCUGUACCAGUAUUGGUGCUUCAUAAUGUUUUAGUAUAGUAUUUUCCCUGAGUUAUAUAGUUGCUAAGGUCUGACAUACUUUAUCAAAUGGGUGGUUUCUUUUGCCUUCCAAUACUUGUUGGAAGUCGCCCAGAGGCAUGGAGAAUGUGCAAUCAAUAGGGCUUCUGGAAACCCACGCACUGGCAGCUAUUUCGUCUACGGAUCAGCUCCUCCCCAUCUCCAAUCCAAUGCGAAAAUUCUGCAAGUAUUAUUGAAGUGACUCAGCAACACUGGUGGAGGAGACAAGAGUGUUUGUGAUAGAAACUGGAAUCUCAGAAAAAAAUUCUCAAAAGCAGUAGAAACUUCCUGCUGAGAUUGAAUUGAAUUAUUGUAUUGUUUAAAGAAAUUGUGUAUAUUAAUUAUACAUUACCAAUACAUUAAAGCAAAAAUAAAUAUUUUUAAUCA